AUGUUGUUACUCAACCUUGUUGUUACUCAACCUUGUUGCAUUUCUUAUUCUGUUGUAAUCCUUUCAAAGGGGAAAGGGAAAGGGAGAUACCUAGUCAGUUGUAAAGGGAAAGGGGGAUACCUAGUCAGUUGUAAAGGGAAAGGGAGAUACCUAGUCAGUUGUAAAGGGAAAGGGGAAUACCUAGUCAGUUGUAAAGGGAAAGGGGGAUACCUAGUCAGUUGUAAAGGGAAAGGGGGAUACCUAGUCAGUUGUAAAGGGAAAGGGGGAUACCUAGUCAGUUGUAAAGGAAAAGGGGGAAACCUAGUCAGUUGUAAAGGGAAAGGGAGAUACCUAGUCAGUUGUAAAGGGAAAGGGAGAUACCUAGUCAGUUGUAAAGGGAAAGGGGGAUACCUAGUCAGUUGUAAAGGGAAAGGGGGAUACCUAGUCAGUUGUAAAGGGAAAGGGGGAAACCUAGUCAGUUGUAAAGGGAAAGGGGGAAACCUAGUCAGUUGUAAAGGGAAAGGGGGAAACCUAGUCAGUUGUAAAGGGAAAGGGGGAAACCUAGUCAGUUGUAAAGGGAAAGGGGGAAACCUAGUCAGUUGUAAAGGGAAAGGGGGAUACCUAGUCAGUUGUAAAGGGAAAGGGGGAAACCUAGUCAGUUGUAAAGGGAAAGGGAGAUACCUAGUCAGUUGUAAAGGGAAAGGGGGAAACCUAGUCAGUUGUAAAGGGAAAGGGGGAAACCUAGUCAGUUGUAAAGGGAAAGGGGGAUACCUAGUCAGUUGUAAAGGGAAAGGGGGAUACCUAGUCAGUUGUAAAGGGAAAGGGGGAUACCUAGUCAGUUGUAAAGGGAAAGGGGGAAACCUAGUCAGUUGUAAAGGGAAAGGGGGAUACCUAGUCAGUUGUAAAGGGAAAGGGGGAAACCUAGUCAGUUGUAAAGGGAAAGGGGGAUACCUAGUCAGUUGUAAAGGGAAAGGGGGAUACCUAGUCAGUUGUAAAGGGAAAGGGGGAUACCUAGUCAGUUGUAAAGGGAAAGGGAGAUACCUAGUCAGUUGUAAAGGGAAAGGGGGAUACCUAGUCAGUUGUAAAGGGAAAGGGGGAAACCUAGUCAGUUGUAAAGGGAAAGGGAUACCUAGUCAGUUGUAA
rnacentral:lncRNA from 8 species